AUUGAACGCUGGCGGCAGGCCUAACACAUGCAAGUCGAACGGUAACAGGAAGAAGCUUGCUUCUUUGCUGACGAGUGGCGGACGGGUGAGUCAUGUCUGGGAAACUGCCUGAUGGAGGGGGAUAACUACUGGAAACGGUAGCUAAUACCGCAUAACGUCGCAAGACCAAAGAUGGGGACCUUCGGGCCUCUUGCCAUCGGAUGUGCCCAGAUGGGAUUAGCUAGUAGGUGGGGUAACGGCUCACCUAGGCGACGAUCCCUAGCUGGUCUGAGAGGAUGACCAGCCACACUGGAACUGAGACACGGUCCAGACUCCUACGGGAGGCAGCAGUGGGGAAUAUUGCACAAUGGGCGAAAGCCUGAUGCAGCCAUGCCGCGUGUAUGAAGAAGGCCUUCGGGUUGUAAAGUACUUUCAGCGGGGAGGAAGGGAGUAGAGUUAAUACCUGUGCACAUUGACGUUACCCGAAGAAGAAGCACCGGCUAACUCCGUG
rnacentral:rRNA from 1 species